GAGUUUGAUUAUGGCUCCAGAUUGAACGCUGGCGGGAUGCUUUACACGUAGGUCGAACUGGCAGCACGGACUUCGGUCUGGUGGCGAGUGGCGAACGGGUGAGCAAUGUCGGAACAUGCUAGUGGCGGGGGAUAACUACGCAAGCGUAGCUAAUACCAUACGCCCUUCGGGGAAAAAGCAGGGGACCGGCUUCUCGGGCCUCGCACUAUUGCGACGGCCGAUAUCGGAUUAGCUAGUUGGUGGGGUAACAGCUCACCAAGGCGACGAUCCGUAGCUGGUUUAGAGAGGACGACCAGCCACACUGGGACUGAGACCUGGCCCAGACUCCACGGGAAGCGGCAGUGGGGAAUUUUGGACAGUAGGAAACCCUGAUCCAGCCAUCCCGCGUGUGCGAUGAAGGCCUUCGAAUUUGUAAAGCACUUUGGCAGGAAAAACGGCACGGGGAUAAUACCGUGCAGCUGACGGUACCUGCAGAAUAAGCACCGGCUAACUACGUGCCAGCGGCCGCGCCGGUAAUACGUAGGGUGCAAGCGUUAAUCAGAUUUACUAGACUAAAGCGUGCGCAGGCGGUUCGGAAAGAAGAUGUGAUCCCAGAGCUUAACUUUGUGGAACUGCGUUUUAACUACCGAGCUAGAGUGUGUCAGAGGAGAUGGAAUUCCGCGUGUAGCAGUGAAGUGCGUAGAUAUGCGGAGGAACACCGAUGGCGAGGCGGCCUCCUGGGAUAACACUGACGCUCAUGCACAGCGUGGGAGCAAACAGGAUUGAAUACCCUGGUAGUCCACGCCCUAAACGAUGUCAACUAGCUGUUGGGGCCUUCGGGCCUUGGUGACGCAACUAACGCGUGAGUUCGACCGCCUGGGGGUACAGUCGCAAGAUUAAAACUCAAAGGAAUUGACAAGGACCCACCUAAGCGGUGGAUGAUGUGGAUUAAUUCGAUGCAACGCGAAAAAACCGCCCGCCCACCUUGACAUGUCUGGAAUCCCCGAAGAGAUUUGGGAGUGCUCGCAAGAGAACCGGAGACACAGGUGCUGCAUAGCUGUCGUCAGCUCGUGUCGUGAGAUGUUGGGUUAAGUCCCGCAACAGCGCAACCCAUGUCGUGGAUUGCUGCCGAGGAGCUGCUCUAAUGGGACUGCCGGUGACAAACCGGAGGAAGGUGGGGAUGACGUCAAGUCCUCAUGGCCACACCAUGGGUAGGGCUUCACACGUCAUACAAUGGUCAGGACAGAGGGUCGCCAACCCGCGAAGAGGAGCCAAUCCAGAAACCCGAUCAUCAGUCCGGAUCGCAGUCUGCUCGACUGCGUGAGUCGGAAUCGCUAAUCGCGGAUCAGCAUGUCGCGGUGAAUACGUUCCCGGGUCUUGUACACACCGCCCGUCCUACCAUGGGAGUGGGUUUUGCAGAAGCGGAUUAGCCUAACCGUAAGGAGGCGAUUACCACGGUAGGAUUCAUGACUGGGGGUGAAGUCGUAACAAGGUAA
rnacentral:rRNA from 1 species